rnacentral:rRNA from 1 species
CCUACGGGCGGCAGCAGUGAGGAAUAUUGGUCAAUGGACGAGAGUCUGAACCAGCCAAGUAGCGUGAAGGAUGACUGCCCUAUGGGUUGUAAACUUCUUUUAUAGAGGAAUAAAAUGAUGCACGUGUGCCUUUUUGUAUGUACCUUAUGAUUAAGGAUCGGCUAACUCUGUGUCAGCAGCCGCGGUAAUACGGAGGGUCAGAGCGUUAUCCGGAUUUAUUGGGUUUAAAGGGAGCGUAGGUGGGUUGUUAAGUCAGUUGGGAAAGUUUGCGGCUCAACCGUAAAAUUGCAGUUGAUACUGGCAGUCUUGAGUACAGUAGAGGUGGGCGGAAUUCGUGGUGUAGCGGUGAAAUGCUUAGAUAUCACGAAGAACUCCGAUUGCGAAGGCAGCUCACUGGACUGCAACUGACACUGAGGCUCGAAAGUGUGGGUAUCAAACAGGAUUAGAUACCCGAGUAGUC